AUGGUGUUGAAAGCAAAGUAUUUCGCUGAUGGAGAUUUAUGGAAUUGCCAACUGAGAAAAGGUAGUUCCUUUACUUGGCAAAGUUUGUGGUCAGGAAUACAAACCUUUAAGAGGGGUUAUAUUUGGCGCGUGGGAGACGGUGAGAAAAUUAAUAUAUGGGAGGACCCAUGGGUCUCUAGCAGCCCGAACAGAAGUAUAGUUACACGAAGGGGAAACAUUGUGCUCACGAAAGUAUCUGAAUUGAUAGAUCAUGAAAACAGAGUUUGGGAUGAAGAGCUCAUCAAGAACAUAUUUUGGCCAGAUGCUAACCGUAUUCUCAAAAUUCCAUUGGCCACUGGGAUGAUGGAUGACUUAAUUUCAUGGCAUUUUAACAGGAAUGGCAUUUUCUCAGUUAAAUCCGCCUACCAUGCUGAGUGGGAUCAUCAGCAUGGGCGAAAGUUGCGUCGUACUCAACGGGAAGGGAGUACUACUGGAGCCAAGAUAUGGAAAAUUCUAUGGGAUUUGCAUGUACCGGCUAAGAUAAAAAUUCACUGUUGGAGAGUAUUGUAUGGAGCUAUACCAUGCAAAGGGGUGUUAGCAAAUCGUCACAUUCAAACGAGCAGCCAAUGUCCACUUUGUUCUAUUGAUUGUGAAAGUAUACGACAUGCUUUGUUCCAAUGUGCAUGUGUGAAGGAGAUUUGGAUGAAUCUAGGCAUGGAAGAUGUAAUUCAAGAUGCAUGUAUGCUCGACGAGGAGGGCCAGUCAAUUCUGGGAGGCUUGCUCCUCAAUACAUUAGUGAUGGCUCCUUUGCUACCUGAAAUGCCGUGUAACGACUUAAUUGCUACUGCUGUGUGGUAUAUAUGGUGGGAACGUCGACAAGUUACCCAUGGUGAGCAGAUCCAGAAGCCACACGACACAGCUGAAGCCAUAUCCGCUUUGGUGACCAAUUAUUCGAGGGCUCACAAGAAAACUCAGACAGGAAUCAUAAGACAUGGAUGA
rnacentral:rRNA from 1 species